rnacentral:rRNA from 1 species
AACGAACGCUGGCGGCAUGCCUAACACAUGCAAGUCGAACGAAGGCUUCGGCCUUAGUGGCGCACGGGUGCGUAACGCGUGGGAACCUGCCCCCUCGGUUCGGAAUAACAGUUAGAAAUGACUGCUAAUACCGGAUGAUGACUUCGGUCCAAAGAUUUAUCGCCGAGGGGAUGGGCCCGCGUAGGAUUAGCUAGUUGGUGGGGUAAAGGCCUACCAAGGCGACGAUCCUUAGCUGGUCUGAGAGGAUGAUCAGCCACACUGGGACUGAGACACGGCCCAGACUCCUACGGGAGGCAGCAGUGGGGAAUAUUGGACAAUGGGCGAAAGCCUGAUCCAGCAAUGCCGCGUGAGUGAUGAAGGCCUUAGGGUUGUAAAGCUCUUUUACCAGGGAUGAUAAUGACAGUACCUGGAGAAUAAGCUCCGGCUAACUCCGUGCCAGCAGCCGCGGUAAUGUAGACGU